UGUCAGUCUCGAGCUGAGCACCUGACGAGGUGGUUCAUUGAAGUCCAUAAAGUAUCAACGUUUUUUGUUAGAUCAAGCGCGACUCUAGAAACAGUCUCAUCUUGUAUUUUUUUUUUUCCUGUUUGAGUUCGCGAGUUUAUCAAGAGAAGAAAUGACAAUUUAUGGACUUUUAGUGCAAAUCAUUAUCGUUUGUAACUAGCUGGCAGGCUGAAAAUAUCCCCGGAGCAGAUCCAGCAGCAAUGGCACCGCCCCAAGAACAGCCUGAGGAUGAUUUUAGCACCAAGAUACCUUCGAUAAUUGGAUUCCUGAACCUGGACUGACUGGCAACACGAAAUGGAACCCCAAGCCCCCCACCCCACUCCAUUGGACGAAAGUGCUGACCCAGAGAGAGGCCAAGGCUGAAGAGCUCUGCAGUGACUGAUGAGAAAUAUAGAAAUAUAAGUUAGAGCCGAAAACCGAUCAAAUAAACCGACAAUGUGAAUCAUA